rnacentral:rRNA from 1 species
AUUGAACGCUGGCGGAAUGCUUUACACAUGCAAGUCGAACGGUAGAGGGGGCAACCCCUCGAGAGUGGCGAACGGGUGAGUAAUAUAUCGGAACGUGCCCAGUCGUGGGGGAUAACGUAGCGAAAGUUACGCUAAUACCGCAUACGAUCUAAGGAUGAAAGCGGGGGAUCGCAAGACCUCGCGCGAUUGGAGCGGCCGAUAUCGGAUUAGGUGGUUGGUGGGGUAAAGGCUCACCAAGCCAACGAUCUGUAGCUGGUCUGAGAGGACGACCAGCCACACUGGAACUGAGACACGUUCCAGACUCCUACGGGAGGCAGCAGUGGGGAAUUUUGGACAAUGGACGCAAGUCUGAUCCAGCCAUUCCGCGUGCAGGAUGAAGGCCCUCGGGUUGUAAACUGCUUUUGUACGGAACGAAAAGGUCUCUCUUAAUACGGGGGACUCAUGACGGUACCGUAAGAAUAAGCACCGGCUAACUACGUGCCAGCAGCCGCAGUAA